UACGUAGGGGGCAAGCGUUGUCCGGAUUUAUUGGGCGUAAAGAGCGUGUAGGCGGCCAGGUAGGUCUGCUGUGAAAACUGGAGGCUUAACCUCCAGACGUCGACGGAAACCGCGUGGCUAGAGUCCGGAAGAGGAGAGUGGAAUUCCUGGUGUAGCGGUGAAAUGCGCAGAUAUCAGGAAGAACACCAAUGGCGAAGGCAGCUCUCUGGGACGGUACUGACGCUGAGACGCGAAAGCGUGGGGAGCGAACAGG
rnacentral:rRNA from 1 species